rnacentral:rRNA from 1 species
ACCUACGGGACGCAGCAGUGGGGGAUAUUGCACAAUGGGGGGAACCCUGAUGCAGCGACGCCGCGUGAGCGAAGAAGUACCUCGGUAUGUAAAGCUCUAUCAGCAGGGAAGAAAAUGACGGUACCUGACUAAGAAGCCCCGGCUAACUACGUGCCAGCAGCCGCGGUAAUACGUAGGGGGCAAGCGUUAUCCGGAUUUACUGGGUGUAAAGGGAGCGUAGACGGCGACGCA